rnacentral:pre_miRNA from 1 species
GGGUGGAGCGCUGGAUCUCAGGCUGCAUCCCCCAGUGCCCUGGGCUGCGGGGCCUGCGCCACUGGAAUUGUGCUCCUGGGGCUGCGCAGCCCCCU